rnacentral:rRNA from 1 species
UACGUAGGCAGCAAGCGUUGUUCGGAGUUACUGGGCGUAAAGGGUGUGUAGGCGGUCGGAUAAGUGUGGUGUGAAAUCUCCCGGCUCAACUGGGAGGGUGCGCUACAAACUGUCUGGCUAGAGUGCGGGAUGGGAAAGUGGAAUUCCUGGUGUAGCGGUGAAAUGCGUAGAUAUCAGGAGGAACACCGGUGGUGUAGACGGCUCUCUGGACCGUAACUGACGCUGAGGCACGAAAGCGUGGUAGCAAACAGG